CGAUCUUGAUACCACCAAUGG
rnacentral:miRNA from 1 species